UUGUGACUGGUCCAACCAAACGAUACCCAGUUUCGGCCUGGGAGGUCCCAAUCACCUGGGGUCACUAA
rnacentral:tRNA from 1 species